UUGUACAUUGAACGGUAGCUA
rnacentral:miRNA from 1 species